GGCUUCCCCCAGGUUGUGUCGCUACACUGAUUGUAUAGAAAAAGGAGGCAGAGUAAAUCUACCCUGUGUACACUUCAGUCCAGGCCCUGUGCCUGGUCUGUAUUGAGAAUGGGGAGACGUGG
rnacentral:snoRNA from 1 species